CAGUGGACUCAUCAAAAUGGUGCGUCUAUAUUGUAAAAUAUAGAAUGAACGGGAUGAAUUCAGGGAAACCUUAACAGUCAGGCUGAAGGCAAUCCUGAGCCAAGCCAAAGGUACACCUUUGGAAGGUGCAGAGACUACCUGGGAACUACAGUGUUCUUAAUAACAGGCUAGAGCGUCCCGCACCCCACCAGCCACAAAGCACACAUUGUUGCUGAGGGUGAUGAGAUAGUCCGCUCCGUACUGAAAAGUUCGG
rnacentral:ncRNA from 1 species